AGAGUUUGAUCCUGGCUCAGAACGAACGCUGGCGGCAGGCCUAACACAUGCAAGUCGAGCGCGCCCUUCGGGGUGAGCGGCGGACGGGUUAGUAACGCGUGGGAAUAUACCCGACACUAAGGAAUAGCCUCUGGAAACGGAGAGUAAUACCUUAUACGCCCUUCGGGGGAAAGAUUUAUCGGUGACGGAUUAGCCCGCGUUAGAUUAGAUAGUUGGUGGGGUAAUGGCCUACCAAGUCUACGAUCUAUAGCUGGUUUUAGAGGAUGAUCAGCAACACUGGGACUGAGACACGGCCCAGACUCCUACGGGAGGCAGCAGUGGGGAAUCUUGGACAAUGGGCGCAAGCCUGAUCCAGCCAUGCCGCGUGAGUGAUGAAGGCCUUAGGGUCGUAAAGCUCUUUCGCCAGAGAUGAUAAUGACAGUAUCUGGUAAAGAAACCCCGGCUAACUCCGUGCCAGCAGCCGCGGUAAUACGGAGGGGGUUAGCGUUGUUCGGAAUUACUGGGCGUAAAGCGCGCGUAGGCGGAUUAGUAAGUUAGAGGUGAAAUCCCGGGGCUCAACCCCGGAACUGCCUUUAAUACUGCUAGUCUUGAGUUCGAGAGAGGUGAGUGGAAUUCCGAGUGUAGAGGUGA
rnacentral:rRNA from 1 species